AGCAGCCGCGGUAAUUCCAGCUCCAAUAGCGUAUAUUAAAGUUGUUGCAGUUAAAAAGCUCGUAGUUGGAUUUCGGAAGGUCCUUAGUGGUCCGCCCCUUCGGGGAGCGGGUCACUGGCCUCCUAUGUUCCUAACGGUCCUCAUCCGCGAGGGUGGGGAAUCAACCGCUAGGAUCGUUUACUUUGAGGAAAU
rnacentral:rRNA from 1 species